UCAGCUUCGAUCGAUGUUCAGCUUCGAUCGAUGUUCAGAAUCGAUUUUCACCUCAUGUCAGAAUGGAUCUUUGUACUGAUCUUCAGCUUCAAUCGACCUUCACCUUUCAGGAUCGAUCGAUCCCAACCAGAUUGAAUCGAUCGAUCGAUUGAUCGAUCUCUCUACUGAACCCAACCAGACCGUCACCUUUCAGAAUCGAUCGACCUUAUACCAGACUCCUCUUGCCCUAACUUGUCAACUCUGUUCUCUCCUCCUCUUGCCCUAACCUGUCAUGAUCGAUCUCAUUUUCAUGGCUCCAAUCCGAAGAUAUAUAUAAGUUUGAGUGAAUCGAUUUGGUUUCUAACAGAGAUCGUAGCAAUUUGUUGUGUUUUCAAUCUCUCUCUCUCUCUCUCUCUCUCUCUCUCUCUCUCUCUUCACAUACACAACAUAUAUACAUGUACAUACCUAUAUAUAUACUCCUUUGUAUUCAUUUGUAUUCAUCUGUAUUCAUUCAAAUUGCUUUUGAAAGUUACUUGUUUAAUACUCAUUUGACAAUAAAAAACAUAAAAAUAAAAAACCGUGCACUUGUUGGCCUCUCAUAUUGUAGUCAAUCGUAGUCUUAUGUAGUUUUUUGAAAUUUUUAUGAAUGUUUUUUAAUUGUUUGACUCUAAAUUCAUUCCACAGUGGUUAUGGCUUGUUGCGAAAUUUUUAUUUUAUUGAGAGUGUCUUCUUCGUCUAUAUAUCUAUAUCUCUCUAUAUAUAUGUAUAACACUAUUUUCUAAAGCUGGAGACGGUUAAUUGAAUGUUUGUUUGAAUGUUUGUUUUGUGACUCGAGAUUUUUAUGCUUUUGGCACCAUUAAAUGAUAUAAAUGUUAAUUUUUUAAUUUUUUUUUUUUUGUUUUUUUUACAAAAUAUCAGUUUUUCAAACAACCAGCUGAAGAAAAACAGUUAUUGUGUCUGCCUAGCAUUGUGGUGGUCUGAAAGUAGUCUGGAUGGCAUUCUAGUGGAAGUUGUAGUGUGAUGGUGAUGGUAUCAAUGGUGAUAGAACUAGAAAUCUUAUUGAAACUACAAUUGGACAAGAUUAACCUAUAGCAGUGCAUCCUGAAUGAAAGUAAGUUUGGAUUCACAUGUUUAAAGCAAGGGCCUAUGAAUCUGCGUUUUAUGUACACACAUAUCUGGGAUUAUAUACUAGUUUGAUCACCACUAUGCUAUGAAAAUUCAACAUUAGCUGGUUUCUUUGCUCUUCAAAUCUUUCUACUUUUGAAGAGAUUCAAAAAUUGGGUUUUAAAAGAAAAGCAUUUCACACCAUUUCUCUCAUCUUUUAAUUAUCCAAACAGGUAAUUAGGGGCAAGAGAUUUCUAUUUAUUUUCUUUUCUUUCCAAAUCACCUAAUCUAAGCGGGUGGCUAAUGAAAAUUUCCAAAAUGUCCGCUAGACAAUCAUUGGGAGGGUUUGGGAUUUAAUCCUCUUCAAACCUUAAGAAGAACAAUUUAUUCGUUUGCUUAGAUACACGUUACAAAGAAUAAGUUGUCAAACACUUUUCAAAUUAACAGUAUAUUCUAAAAUCUUAUUUUGUAUUAGUCCCAUAACUAUUUAUCAUAUUCACCAGAAGGCAAACUCGUGCAGAAUCAUUGGCAACCCAUUUCAAGCAGCUCCUCCAGAGGCUGACUAACUUUGAGUUCUAUGGAUCCUUUUUUUAAAUUUUUUUAUUUUAUUUAAUAUAAUAUAUAAACAAUUUACUUUACUUUCAAGUUUGAAUCAAAUAGUUCAUUAUAUUUCUGGAUUUGUUAUUAAUUCAAUUUUUAACUUUGCCACAGGAUAAUAUGGAGUACAGGUUCACGAGUGUAUAAGAGUUUCACCUUGCCCUCCUCAGUGAUUAUGGCAUGCUGGUGUCAUAUGGGUGAUAUGUCUGAGGCAUCACUUUGUGUUCUACAAAGUGAUAGUUUGACAAUCUAUAAGACAACAGCAGGCAAGUCCCAUCCGAGGGACGUAAACUGAAACCUAUAACACAUUCAUUUGUUGUGCCCUCUCAUACCCUCUCAUAGGGAAUUAGCCACCUGGCUAGUCAAGGAAGGGUUGCUGAUUGAAAUAUUAGGAAAUAUGCUGUGAAAGUUUUACCUAAGAAAGAAUUGGCAAGGAAGUGAACAUGGAUAUCCAAUCAACAGCCUACACGAAGAGAACCUACAAUAUGACAACAAACAGUACACACUGAAAUACUAAAUCUAGGGCUGAGGCAAAAAUAAUGUAUAAUAUAUUUAGGCAAGGUUCCCUGUUCUUAAACAGAGUAAAUAAAAAAGAGUUUCUUAAUUAGGCGAAUGAUCUUUGUAUAUUUAAAAAGUUUAGAAUGUGACAAUGUGAUCUGGUGUAAUUUUCUUAUGCUUAUCAUGUUCUACAGGUCCUAGAAAAAUAUGUGAAGAAUUGGAUAACAAUUGCUACACCAUUCCAGGAUAAGUGAUGACAUACCAGGUGACAAGGAUACUAGCUUUGAGAUUGCAACUUGAUAUGUCAAUAUUUGGAAACUUUGAAUUUGAGAACUUUUUAAAAGCAUUUUGGAAACUUUUUGGAAACUUUGAAUAUACUGAUAGCUAUAUACUCGUUAUGAUUUGGGAA